UACGAAGGGUGCAAGCGUUAAUCGGAAUUACUGGGCGUAAAGGGUGCGUAGGCGGUUCGUUAAGUCUGUCGUGAAAUCCCCGGGCUCAACCUGGGAAUGGCGAUGGAUACUGGCGAGCUAGAGUGUGUCAGAGGAUGGUGGAAUUCCCGGUGUAGCGGUGAAAUGCGUAGAGAUCCGGAAGAACACCAGUGGCGAAGGCGGCUCGCUGGGCAGUGGCUGACGCUGAGGCGCGACAGCGUGGGGAGCAAACAGG
rnacentral:rRNA from 1 species